rnacentral:rRNA from 1 species
UACGUAGGGUGCAGGCGUUAAUCGGAAUUACUGGGCGUAAAGCGUGCGCAGGCGGUCUUUUAAGUCAGAUGUGAAAUCCCCGGGCUUAACCUGGGAACUGCGUUUGAAACUGGAAGGCUAGAGUGUGGCAGAGGGGGGUGGAAUUCCACGUGUAGCAGUGAAAUGCGUAGAGAUGUGGAGGAAUACCGGUGGCGAAGGCGGCCUCCUGGCUUAAUACUGACGCUGAGGUGCGAAAGCGUGGGGAUCAAACAGG